UUGAAAGGGAAACGAUUGAAGUCAGUCGUACCUGCGGGUAAUCAGCCUUUUGGGCACGAUUCUGUGGAGCGUGAGGGGUUAAACGCCUUCAUGCCUGCAUAUUCGUGUACUUUGGGUGUACUUGCCUGUGUGGUUAGUUAACAUCAAUUUUGGUUAUCAUAAAAUGGUUGGAGGAAUGUAGCUUCGAUUUCGAUUGAAGUGUUAUAGCCUUCGGCAGAUGUGAUGAUCGGGAUUGAGGAUUGCAACGGAUACCCUUCGGGGCUACCUGUCUGGUCUCUGAUCGUUGCUCUGGUGCCGAAAGCGUGCUUACGGUUAUCAAAGUCGAUGGUCAAUAGGUUAGAACGGGUUAAAUUCGUUAAGGAUGUUGACGUA
rnacentral:rRNA from 1 species